rnacentral:RNase_P_RNA from 1 species
GAAAGCAGGCGAGGUGAUCGCGAUCGGCAUCGGCGCACCGGCCUUGGUCGGGAUGGCGAUGCCGAUUGAGGAAAGUCCGGGCUCCCCAAUGGCCAGGCUUGCUGGGUAACGCCCAGUGCGGGUGACCGUGAGGACAGUGCCACAGAAACACACCGCCGAUGGCCGUUCCGGGGCAACCCGGGCGGCACAGGCAAGGGUGCAAGGGUGCGGUAAGAGCGCACCAGCAGCAUCGAGAGGUGCUGGCUCGGUAAACCCCGGCUAGGAGCAAGGCCCAGGGACAACGGUUGGCCAUGGCACCCGUCCCGACCACAGUGCGCCGCUUGAGGCCGCCGGUAACGGCGGUCCUAGACAGAUGAUCACCCCCCCGGCGAAGCCUCGGCCCCGCCGGGAUGAACAGAACCCGGCUUACGUCCUGCUUUCACCC